rnacentral:rRNA from 1 species
CGGUUCACCGAGAAAUGGGAGUGGCGAACGGGUGAGUAACACGUGGGUAACCUACCCAUCAGCGGGGGAUAACACUUGGAAACAGGUGCUAAUACCGCAUAAUUCUUUUCUUCGCCUGGAGGAAAGAUGAAAGACGCUUUUGCGUCACUGAUGGAUGGACCCGCGCUGCAUUAGCUAGUUGGUGGGGUAACGGCUCACCAAGGCCACGAUGCAUAGCCGACCUGAGAGGGUGAUCGGCCACACUGGGACUGAGACACGGCCCAGACUCCUACGGGAGGCAGCAGUAGGGAAUCUUCGGCAAUGGACGAAAGUCUGACCGAGCAACGCCGCGUGAGUGAAGAAGGUUUUCGGAUCGUAAAACUCUGUUGUUAGAGAAGAACAAGGAUGAGAGUAGAAUGUUCAUCCCUUGACGGUAUCUAACCAGAAAGCCACGGCUAACUACGUGCCAGCAGCCGCGGUAAUACGUAGGUGGCAAGCGUUGUCCGGAUUUAUUGGGCGUAAAGCGAGCGCAGGCGGUUUCUUAAGUCUGAUGUGAAAGCCCCCGGCUUAACCGGGGAGGGUCAUUGGAAACUGGGAGACUUGAGUGCAGAAGAGGAGAGUGGAAUUCCAUGUGUAGCGGUGAAAUGCGUAGAUAUAUGGAGGAACACCAGUGGCGAAGGCGACUCUCUGGUCUGCAACUGACGCUGAGGC